GGGGCUGAAACAGGAUCGACACGCGUGGUAAAGGGAUGGUUUGUCUUCGGCAUUGUACCGCCGUUAUCGGGCUAUUUUAUAUUUGCAAACGACAACUUCGUCGUAGCGAAUGACAACAGCCGUGAGGCUGCUGUCGCUAUCGCUGCCUAAUUUAUUAGGCAGUUGUAGUGAGUAGCUGCAAAUCAAUCCCUGUCGUCUAGACAACGGCAGGUGGGGCCCGGGCCGAGCCUCGCAACAGAAUCGGCCCACUU
rnacentral:tmRNA from 1 species